rnacentral:rRNA from 1 species
GUCCUGGCCGUAAACGAUGGGUACUAGGUGUAGGAGGUAUCGACCCUUCUGUGCCGGAGUUAACGCAAUAAGUACCCGCCUGGGGAGUACGGCCGCAAGGUUGAAACUCAAAGGAAUUGACGGGCCCGCACAAGCGGUGGAGUAUGUGGUUUAAUUCGACGCAACGCGAAGAACCUUACCAAGGCUUGACAUUGAUUGAACGCUCUAGAGAUAGAGAUUUCCCUUCGGGGACAAGAAACAGGUGGUGCAUGGCUGUCGU